rnacentral:tRNA from 1 species
UUAAUUGAAACCAAGCCCGAGGUUUGUCACUGUUAAUGACAAUAUUGAGAUAAUCUCCAAUUAAA